GAUGAACGCUGGCGGCGUGCCUAAUACAUGCAAGUCGAGCGAACAGACGAGGAGCUUGCUCCUCUGAUGUUAGCGGCGGACGGGUGAGUAACACGUGGAUAACCUACCUAUAAGACUGGGAUAACUUCGGGAAACCGGAGCUAAUACCGGAUAAUAUAUUGAACCGCAUGGUUCAAAAGUGAAAGACGGUUUUGCUGUCACUUAUAGAUGGAUCCGCGCCGCAUUAGCUAGUUGGUAAGGUAACGGCUUACCAAGGCAACGAUGCAUAGCCGACCUGAGAGGGUGAUCGGCCACACUGGAACUGAGACACGGUCCAGACUCCUACGGGAGGCAGCAGUAGGGAAUCUUCCGCAAUGGGCGAAAGCCUGACGGAGCAACGCCGCGUGAGUGAUGAAGGUCUUCGGAUCGUAAAACUCUGUUAUUAGGGAAGAACAAAUGUGUAAGUAACUAUGCACGUCUUGACGGUACCUAAUCAGAAAGCCACGGCUAACUACGUG
rnacentral:rRNA from 1 species